UGAAGAAUGAGAGCAGGAAGUGCCAGGCUCCAGGGGGUGGGGCAGGCCCCGCCAGGGGAGGCAGAGGGCACUGAAGCCACCCCUGACCGACUUCACAAGAUAAGGCCCACCCUCACCUCCCCACUUCCUCCUCUCCAACCCCAGGGUCUCCUCCGCUUCCACAUCUUGUUGACUUUUGAAUUUACAAGGUGUGCCAGUUGCCAAGGCCCCCGGUUGAUUACACCCCUGGACCUGCCUUAGGAAAGCAUCCUCCUCCCCCAGCCCCUACCAGCAACUGGGAGGUGGGGCUGGGAACAUAAGAUGAGAUCUCUGAGGUGCUGGGAAGAAAUUAAAAAGAGGAAACAUACUGAAAAGAAGACAGAAGAGAGAACGCGAAGGGAAGAGUGGUCACCAGCCCACUCCCAGGCCAGGAUCCCAGCACACUCACCUCUGGAGACUGGCUACGACGAGGGGCAUCCAGACUGCUCCUGCAGCGAGAGAGACUCUGGUUAGACACAAGGAAGAACUUGCUGCCACUGAGGGAUGUUCAGCUCGGAGAGAGAAGGGGAGUCUCCUGAAGUGCCAUGGCAUUUCGAAUUGAGGAGGCAAUGGCAUUUGUCAUUUGUGUUAACAAUACGCCACACCAUUGAAAACUGUACAAUGGCUGCAGCCAGCAGUCUAGGAAGUUUCGCAUCUGAAAUCAAAAGCUAGAGCCACGAAAACAGCAGGUCGUGGUGGAACUGCCUCUAAAAUAAAUGGAAACACUCGCCUGACUAAUUUGAAAUUCAACUCACAAAAAGGAAACAAAGCCAAAUUGUUCUUUUCCUGUUUCUAAUAUUUUUGCUCUCACAUUUGGAUUAGUUAAUCCAACUACCUGUUUGUGGGUGGGCCUGCUGGGGACCAGAAUGGAGCGCUAACUUGCCCAAAGGCACACAGUGUGGCAGGCAUGUUUGGCCUGACCCCUUUCUACCUCUCCGGCAGGCAAUUCAGUGUUGGGAAAAUCUUGGCUACAACGAAAUGGUAUUCCUAGAAGCAGCUAGGCACUGCAAUUUGGUUUGUUGUGGGGCUUUGCAGUUUCUAAACUAAAUGAUUUAUUAAGAAUAGAUGUGUGAGGCCGGGCGUGGUGGCUCCUGCCUGUAAUCCCAGCUACUCCGGAGGCUAAAGCAGGAGAAUCGCCUGGACCCAGGAGACAGAGGUUGCAGUGAGCCAAGAUUGCACCAUUGCACUCCAGCCCGAGCAACAAGAACAAAACUCCAUCUCAAAGAAAAGGACUAGAUGUGUGAGAUACUAUCUCACGCCAGUUAGAAUGGCGAUCAUUAAAAAGUCAGGAAACAACAGAUGCUGGAGAGGAUGUGGAGAAAUAGGAAUGCUUUUACUCUAUUGGUGAUAGUGUAAAUUAAUUCAACCAUUGUGGAAGACAGUGUAGCGAUUCCUUGAGGAUCUAGAACCAAAAAUACCAUUUGAUCCAGGAAUCUCAUUACUGGAAAUAUACCCGAAGGAUUAUAAAUCAUUCUACUAUAAAGAUACAUGCACAUGUAUGUUUAUGGCAGCACUAUUCAUAAUAGCAAAGACUUGGAACCAACCCAAAUGCCCAUCAAUGACAGACUGGUUAAAGAAAAAGUGGCAUAUAUACACCAUAGAAUACUAUGUAGCCAUAAAAAAGGAUGAGUUCACGUUCUUUGUAGGGACAUGGAUGAAGCUGGAAACCAUCAUUCUCAGCAAACUAACACAGGAACAGAAAACUAAACACUGCAUGUUCUCGUAAGUGGGAGCUGACAAUGAGAACACAUGGACACAGGGAGGGGAACAUCAUACACCGGGUCCUCUCCAGGUGGGAGUAGCUAGGGGAGGGAUAUCAUUAGGAUAAAAACCUAAUGUAGAUGAUGGGUUGACAGGUGCAGCAAACCAUCAUGGCACAUGAUACCUAUGUAACAAACAUGCACGUUCUACACAUAUAUCCCAGAACUUAAAGUAUAAUCUAAAAAAAUAAGAACAGAUUUGAAAGCAGCAAAAGGGGUUGAUUUCAAUGCUUCAUCUAUGGGAAGAUUGCCAUGAUCUCUCAGCAUUUCUAUCCUAAGCUGCUCCCUCCCCUAGGAGGUGCUUUAUGUGAACCUGGGGCUGGGAGAUUCUGUGUGGGAACUGAGCUGGAGAAAAGAUCAUUUGAGGAAGAUAGCCUCAUAUUUCAGUGGUCACUGCACAGACUGUCUUCAUGGUGCUUGAAUAAAAAGCAGGAGGUUUCAUACUGAAGUUGUUUCUCUUUGGCUAGUCCUUCUACAGAGCUUUGGGGAUGAAUUCAUUCCGAAGGCAAUAUUUUCUAAAUUGCCAGUGUGACUCUGAAGCCAACUUCAUUCUGCUUUUGGUUUAUUCCUAAACUUGAUAGAAUCCCAAGUGUUAAUCUCCGGCUGAUAUCUAACCAUCCUCUUCCACUACGCUGUCAUGGCGGGGAUUUAUGGCUGGGUGACGAGCUGCCACAUCUCUCUGAACCCUGAUGAAGACACAGAUAACAUCAUCAACUCAUCACUGAACCAUCCCCAUCAACCCCGCUUUAAUCACCCCCAAGACUGAUAACCAUUGGAGGCUGUUAAUACCUAGCAAAUUAUCUAAUCCACAUGUUGUUCGAUCUAUGUAAACUCCAGCCCAUGAGGAUCAUAAAAUAAAUAAGCGUGAA